GACGAACGCUGGCGGCGUGCCUAAUACAUGCAAGUUGAGCGCUGAAGGUUGGUACUUGUACCGACUGGAUGAGCAGCGAACGGGUGAGUAACGCGUGGGGAAUCUGCCUUUGAGCGGGGGACAACAUUUGGAAACGAAUGCUAAUACCGCAUAAAAACUUUAAACACAAGUUUUAAGUUUGAAAGAUGCAAUUGCAUCACUCAAAGAUGAUCCCGCGUUGUAUUAGCUAGUUGGUGAGGUAAAGGCUCACCAAGGCGAUGAUACAUAGCCGACCUGAGAGGGUGAUCGGCCACAUUGGGACGGAGACACGGCCCAAACUCCUACGGGAGGCAGCAGUAGGGAAGCUUCGGCAAUGGACGAAAGGCUGACCGAGCAACGCCGCGUGAGUGAAGAAGGUUUUCGGAUCGUAAAACUCUGUUGGUAGAGAAGAACGUUGGUGAGAGUGGAAAGCUCAUCAAGUGACGGUAACUACCCAGAAAGGGACGGCUAACUACGUG
rnacentral:rRNA from 1 species